UAUGGAAUAUGCUUCCUCCUUGUUCACUUUUGGUCAAACUGUUGGUCUGUGACUGGCCCUCUUUGACCCCAACUGAAUUUUUUGGGAAGAUACAUGAGAAAGAUACAGCAGGUUGUUUUGAUAUAAAGAAAGAGGGAAAAGUAUGUUGUAUCGGUCACAAAAGGAUUGUGAUCUUAAGCAGGCGAGACAAAGAAAUUUUGGAGGUGAUAGGAGAUUGAAUCAGAAAAGUUUUAGAGGCAGAGGUAGAGAAUUUGAUCAAAGGAUCUAACUUUUGUAGAGGUGGUAACUUCAGCACUGUUUUAAUUGUGGAUAGCAGGGAUUCACCCCAAGGUGCUUGUGGUGAACCCGGUUCUCCUGGUCAACCUGGCCCAGCUGGCAUUCAAGGACUCCCACCCUGGCAGGUUCCUCAAU